rnacentral:rRNA from 1 species
UCCAGACUCCUACGGGAGGCAGCAGUAGGGAAUAUUGCUCAAUGGGGGAAACCCUGAAGCAGCAACACCGCGUGAAGGAAGAAGGCUUUCGGGUUGUAAACUUCUUUUGACAGGGAAGAGCAGAAGACGGUACCUGUCGAAUAAGCCACGGCUAACUACGUGCCAGCAGCCGCGGUAAUACGUAGGUGGCAAGCGUUGUCCGGAUUUACUGGGUGUAAAGGGCGUGUAGCCGGGCUGACAAGUCAGAUGUGAAAUCCGGGGGCUCAACCUCCGAACUGCAUUUGAAACUGUUGGUCUUGAGUAUCGGGGAGGCAGGCGGAAUUCCUAGUGUAGCGGUGAAAUGCGUAGAUAUUAGGAGGAACACCAGUGGCGAAGGCGGAUUGCUGGACAGUAACUGACGCUGAGGCGCGAAAGCGUGGGGAGCAAACAGGAUUAGAUACCCGAGUAA